rnacentral:lncRNA from 1 species
AGCGAAGGGGUGGGGUGGGAUCUUGGUCCAGCUGGUACUGGAGCGGCGACAAUUUUGGCUAGUCUAAGAAGGGCAUUCGAGUGACCGUUGACAACGGGUGGGACAGCGUCAGAGCUGGAGGGAGAGCCAGCACUGUAUGCUUCCAGGACUUCUUGCUAGGUGCAUUAGUUUUUAUUUUUAAGAGUUGGGUAAAAGACAUUAAUUAGUUAGCAUCUCACUCAUCGGCGAUUUUCUACGGUAUGAUUUCAUCCAAAGAGGAUUUCUUAAUCGCACUGUGUGACACCGUUAGGGGACUUAGAGUGUCACUCGCCGCCUUAAAUCCUUUCGGGAACAAGCCAGGAUAUAAAUAAAUAAAGCUAGGUGUGGGUCUUCCCUUCACAAGGCGCUGGUAGGCAGACUAAAGACAGGCAACAGCUGAGUGUGCACACAGAACUAAAUAUUGAACGAAAUACGAGUGUCGGAAUAAAAUUCAUUGCCAUGUGCACGGCUUAUGAUUAUACAGAUCUUGGACAUAUCACGGACCUGAACGUCAACCCUGCAACACCGGAUAAAACAUCUAAUGUAGCUGGAAUAGACUCUGAAAGGACGUUAGGCAUUAUCUAAAUCAAGUCCCUCAUUUUACAGAUGAGUAAACUGACUCAGUGAAGUAUUUUGCUCAAGGUCGUUCAUCAAAUUAGUAGUUUAAUUAACUCAGUGUUCUAGGAAGCAGGGUAGUAGAAAAGCAUGGGAUUCGGAGUCUGAAAUCUUCCUUGGUUUCUGGUCCUUGUAGGCUGUUUUACAAGUGUAUCUUGGGCAAAUCCCUUAACGUCUUGCCAUUUAUUAAGGGCUUACUUACCACGUGGCAAACAAUCCACUUUGCAUGCUGUGUCAAUUACAUGCAGUAUGUCGUGUAGUUAUUACUGUCCCCAUUUUAUGAGGUAGUUUAGGUUUAAAGAUAUUAGAAAUUUACCCAAAGUUACGCAGUUAUAAACAUUGUAGUAAUUUCAAACUCAGGUCUUCGUGACUGCAAAGGCUGCUGUCUUAAGUAUUGUAAUACAUUAGAGCUCCGGAUUCCCUCCCACUCAAAACAGAGACUGAGACUCCAACCAAUUUCCACCAUUAUUGGGAGUCAAACGAGAGAGACUGUGGCAAUGUAUUCUAAGCUGUACAAAGGUAUAAACAUAUUCACUAGAUUUGUAGAAUGAAGUUAUUCCUUCCCUAUACUUUCCACUACAACAAUUCAGCCAAAAAGAUGGCUUUCAUACUAAGCAUAAGAAGGAACUUCACUGUAAUUAUGAUAUUCUAACCAAGAAUAUAUGCAUAUCUAGGCAAUAACCAAAGUGAAUAGAAUAAAAUUUAAUUCCUGAUAGAUUAAAUAGGCAAUAGCAAGGAAUGCUAACGCUCCUCAUAGCGUUCUUGUUGGAAGAAUCAUCUAGGAGGCAUUGGGAUUUCUGGUGCUUUUUAAGCAAUGAGAGAUAUCAGUCCACUGAAUGAGGAAGAGAAUAACGUUUAGUUUCGGACUAAAAGUUCAUCUGGACUACGGAAAACACGUUUGCCUCAAUCAGUGAAGAAGGUAUGCUGAGAGCUGAAAGAAAAGGAAAGCAGCAACAGUGAGAGCUCAGAAAUUCCCAGACUGUUUUGAUGAUAAGGUCCAAGAACUUGCCAUGUGAUCCAUCACUACUAGACUCCCACAACUGCAUUAGAUUUGUUCAGGAUUUUCAUAUAAUUUUCAUAACUGGCUAAGUUCUGAAAUAACCCAUCUUGAAGACAUAAACAAUGUGCAUUGAUGGCUAGCCAGACUCUGUCCUGCCACAGUUCUCCUCCUACUCUUCAUUUCUUACCCCAAGGAGUAGUAAACAUGAAUCCUGACCCACCAAUGCAGUCCCAGAACUGAGAAAAGAUUCACUGCAGCUAAACACAUUGGAAAUGGAUGGGGAGAAGGCCUGAUGAAAAUUACUGAGGAAGCCUCUUAGCCUAUGUGCUCUGAGAGUAGUGACACCUAGCAGUCGUUCAAAAGAUGAUCAAGAGGAGCAUGAAAAAAUCCCCUGAAUCCAUUGGCUUUCUUCCCUAUACUGACAACAGUUUACUUGUGUAAGAGAUGCAUGCCUCGACUCCGGACCCCUUCUUUCAUCUGCAAAAUCAGCAGCACCCUCACAUCAUCUCCUGUAACAAACUCUCUCUGUCUCCUCCAUAUAAGGUCACUGAUGGUUACAUUUAGGGUCCAUGAUAUAAGGCCCUCUCCAGGGUGCCUGAGUUUGUUGUUUCAUCACAGAAUUACACGGAAGAGACUGGAAAGAUAACUCUUCAAAUGUCAAAUCAUUCCCCUAUAAAAAAUUUUGCCACAGCUGUUGAAAUAUGGCCUUAGGGUUUAUGACAGAAUUUGAACCAGCCCCAUGGAAAAUGCAUCUUGACUCUGCUUUUAUUCCUUUCCCUGCUGAGCUCCUAAUAGAAGAUGGAUGUCUAUUGCUUUUCUCUUGAUAUUCAUGGCACUGCUCCUCUCCAUCCAUAGGAUUAUCUUAUUCAAGUUGGUGUGUAUCUGCAAAGGCGAUGGAAAGGAGUUCUUACAUAUGCAUAUUCUGAAGAAGGAUGUUACCCUUACUGAAAAACUUAUUCCAAGAUAUGUUUAAUCAAUCAUGAGAAAAAUAAAGAGACAUCCUUAUGAAUGGAGAAUAAAGUCCUCAGGGUUUUUUUCUAAUUCCCCAUGUGAAUGAAGAGCUGUGUUAUUCUAAAUAUAGUGUUUGUCAUAAGGCAAUUGUGUUGGUUUGAGUCCUUAGUCGCUGUGACACUGAUAGAAUUCCUAUCUCCAAUUGGAAGGUAAGUUGACCUUGCCUCACUUUUGGGCAUUUACAAAGUAAAAGUGUCUUCAUAUUCCAGGUUACAAUCCUCAUAGAGAUGCAGGAAGAGUCCAAAACUACCAAGGCAGACAGAAAUGCACCAUUGAGCUCUGCUGUUGAAAGCAUCUGAUGGUGGCCCAUUCUGAUGAGACAUUGGACUUCCCUAGUAGGAAAGUUUGGUUUGGGGACUCCUGUCUUUCUGGCUCAGAUUUUCUUAGAGCUGCACUGCAGUCUGAGACUCUACCUGCCCCACUCUCUUUCUUUCCCUUUCUUGUCAACAACAUCAGUUCUGCAUUGCAGUCUGAAGGAUUUCUCUGCCUGAUCCUGCUUUCUCCUCUUUAUUCUUUGCAGUUGUUUCUAACUGCAGAAUCUCUUGAAAGUCUACUCCCAUCUGGCCGGGCGUGGUGGCUCAUGCCUGUAA